GACGAACGCUGGCGGCGUGCUUAACACAUGCAAGUCGAACGGAAAGGCCCUGCUUUUGUGGGGUGCUCGAGUGGCGAACGGGUGAGUAACACGUGAGUAACCUGCCCUUGACUUUGGGAUAACUCCAGGAAACUGGGGCUAUUACCGGAUAGGAGCUCCUGCUGCACGGUGGGGGUUGGAAAGUUUCGGCGGUUGGGGAUGGACUCGCGGCUUAUCAGCUUGUUGGUGGGGUAGUGGCUUACCAAGGCUUUGACGGGUAGCCGGCCUGAGAGGGUGACCGGCCACAAUGGGACUGAGAUACGGCCCAGACUCCUACGGGAGGCAGCAGUGGGGAAUAUUGCACAAUGGGCGGAAGCCUGAUGCAGCAACGCCGCGUGCGGGAUGACGGCCUUCGGGUUGUAAACCGCUUUCGCCUGUGACGAAGCGUGAGUGACGGUAAUGGGUAAAGAAGCACCGGCUAACUACGUG
rnacentral:rRNA from 1 species